GUGGGGAAUAUUCCGCAAUGGACGAAAGUCUGACGGAGCAACGCCGCGUGAGUGAUGAAGGUUUUCGGACUGUAAAGCUCUGUUGUUUAGGACGAAAGUGCCUGUUGCAAAUAGUUACAGGUAUUGACGGUACUGAACGAGGAAGCCACGGCUAACUACGUGCCAGCAGCCGCGGUAAUACGUAGGUGGCAAGCGUUGUCCGGAAAUAUUGGGCGUAAAGAGCAUGUAGGCGGGAAUCUAAGUCUGUUGUGAAAAUGCGGGGCUCAACCCCGUAUUGCGAUGGAAACUGGGUUUCUUGAGUGCAGGAGAGGAAAGGGGAAUUCCCAGUGUAGCGGUGAAAUGCGUAGAUAUUGGGAGGAACACCAGUGGCGAAGGCGCCUUUCUGGACUGUGUCUGACGCUGAGAUGCGAAAGCCAGGGUAGCGAACGGGAUUAGAUACCCGAGUAGUCC
rnacentral:rRNA from 1 species